rnacentral:rRNA from 1 species
UGGGGAAUUGUUCGCAAUGGGCGCAAGCCUGACGACGCAACGCCGCGUGGAGGAUGAAGAUCUUCGGGUCGUAAACUCCUUUCGAUCGAGACGAACGGCCCUGGGGUGAAUAAUCCCGGGGAGUGACGGUACCGAGAGAAGAAGCCCCGGCUAACUCCGUG